GGUCCUGUAGCUCAGCCUGGUCAGAGCACUUGGCUUUUAACCAAGGUGUCGGGGGUUCAAAUCCCUCCAGGGCCA
rnacentral:tRNA from 1 species